ACUCCUGCGGGAGGCAGCAGUGGGGAAUUUUGGACAAUGGGCGAAAGCCUGAUCCAGCAAUGCCGCGUGCAGGAUGAAGGCCUUCGGGUUGUAAACUGCUUUUGUACGGAACGAAAAAGCUCCUUCUAAUACAGGGGGCCCAUGACGGUACCGUAAGAAUAAGCACCGGCUAACUACGUGCCAGCAGCCGCGGUAAUACGUAGGGUGCGAGCGUUAAUCGGAAUUACUGGGCGUAAAGCGUGCGCAGGCGGUUAUGUAAGACAGAUGUGAAAUCCCCGGGCUCAACCUGGGAACUGCAUUUGUGACUGCAUGGCUAUAGUACGGUAGAGGGGGAUGGAAUUCCGCGUGUAGCAGUGAAAUGCGUAGAUAUGCGGAGGAACACCGAUGGCGAAGGCAAUCCCCUGGACCUGUACUGACGCUCAUGCACGAAAGCGUGGGGAGCAAACAGGAUUAGAUACCCCUGUAGUCCCA
rnacentral:rRNA from 1 species